ensembl:lncRNA
CAACUUCAUAACAAACAAGUGAGCAUCUUCAGAUGCUGGAAGCGAUGUAAGAGGGCAGGAGUUUGUCUGUCUUCCACAAAAAGGACCUGCUUAUAUUGCCCGAAUACAGCUCCAGAGGUUAAGAACAAGGAAGAAGUUUUGAAAGAUGUGCCAGAAAAAUGAAGUCAUCCCUUUAGGUGAACACAGGUAAUUUUCCUUUUCUGGUCCACAUAAGCAAGUAAGUUUGGCUAA